AAAAAAGGUUUAAAAUAUUGUUAGACAAGAAUUAAAUAAAAAAGAACACAAAGAUGGAUGUGUUGGCUUAAAUGGGCCAGUAUCCUCUCCUGUAGCGGUAGGUCAUGUUGAGUCGAGUCAUGUUCGAAAUAGCAUGAGGCUGGGGGGACCGAGUCAUGUUCGAAGUGGCGUGAAGCUGGUUGGGCCCGGUCACAAUCGAGACCUUGUGGGCGCUGUAUCUAUACAUUUUAAGUGAAUUGAUUGCGUAUUUCUAACAGCUCGAGAUUUUGGGAUUAAUGGUUAGCCUCAACGAUCCGACAGAAUGAGGAUGACUAAAGGAAAUAGUACUGUUUUUUUUUCUUGAAAAAGCCAUAGGCAUUUUAUUAAAGUAGAGUUCAAUGACAUCUUUUAUUUAUCUAACCUUCUGUUUGGAUGUCGGAAUAAAUUAUUCAAAAAUAGCUUAUUUUGUAUAAUAAUUUUCUAGUAUGGUCGUAAAUAAAAAGCUUGAUUUUUACUCCUUCAAAAAUCUUGUUGUCCAUAAUUUAGUAUGAUAACAUAUUUCAACUACAAAGUAAUUUAUUUUAUCCAAAAAAUAACUUGAAGAUUGAACGCAGUAUUCAGUUUUAAACAUCUUAUCACAUUUUUUAUCAAUCACAUAUACAAAAUUUUUGAAUAAAUUAAGAAGAUAUACCGAAUAAGAUAUUCAUAUAAUUAGUCAACACAAAAAAAAAUCUACUAUUAUAUA
rnacentral:lncRNA from 1 species